UCCUGGUUAACCCAGGCAGUCUCAUUAGAGUUCCCACCUUAAAUGUUGGCAACUAAUGAUAAGGGUUGCGCUCGUUGCGGGACUUAACCCAACAUCUCACGACACGAGCUGACGACAGCCAUGCAGCACCUGUGUGGGCUGGUAUUGCUACCUCGUCAUGCUUUCACACUUCUACUACCCACAUGUCAAGGCCAGGUAAGGUUCUUCGCGUUGCAUCGAAUUAAGCCACAUACUCCACCGCUUGUGCAGGCCCCCGUCAAUUUCUUUGAGUUUUAAUCUUGCGACCGUACUUCCCAGGCGGCACAUUUAACGCGUUAGCUUCGCCACAAACGGGGUCGAAUCCGCUCACAGCAAAUGUGCACCGUUUACAGCUAGGACUAC
rnacentral:misc_RNA from 1 species